rnacentral:rRNA from 1 species
AGUGAACGCUGGCGGCAGGCCUAAAUACAUGCAAGUCGAACGGCAGCACAGCAGAGCUUGCUCUGUGGGUGGCGAGUGGCGGACGGGUGAGGAAUACAUGGGAAUCUGCCCAGUCGUGGGGGAUAACGUAGGGAAACUUACGCUAAUACCGCAUGCGCCCUUCGGGGGAAAGCCGGGGACCUUCGGGCCUGGCGCGAUUGGAUGAGCCCAUGUCGGAUUAGCUAGUUGGCGGGGUAAUGGCCCACCAAGGCGACGAUCCGUAGCUGGUCUGAGAGGAUGAUCAGCCACACUGGAACUGAGACACGGUCCAGACUCCUACGGGAGGCAGCAGUAGGGAAUAUUGGACAAUGGGCGCAAGCCUGAUCCAGCCAUGCCGCGUGAGUGAAGAAGGCCCUCGGGUUGUAAAGCUCGUUUUGUCCGGAAAGAAAAGCGCCGGGUUAAUACCCUGGUGUCCUGACGGUACCGAAGAUAAGCACCGGCUAACUUCGUAGCCAGCAGCCGCGGUAA